rnacentral:rRNA from 1 species
AUUGAACGCUGGCGGCAGGCUUAACACAUGCAAGUCGAGCGGAGCGAGGGUGCUUGCACCUUAGCUGAGCGGCGGACGGGUGAGUAAUGCUUAGGAACCUGCCUAUUAGUGGGAGACAACAUUCCGAAAGGAAUGCUAAUACCGCAUACGCCCUACGGGGGAAAGCAGGGGAUCUUCGGAGCUUGCGCUAAUAGAUGAGCCUAAGUCGGAUUAGCUAGUUGGUGGGGUAAAGGCCUACCAAGGCGACGAUCUGUAGCGGGUCUGAGAGGAUGAUCCGCCACACUGGGACUGAGACACGGCCCAGACUCCUACGGGAGGCAGCAGUGGGGAAUAUUGGACAAUGGGCGGAAGCCUGAUCCAGCCAUGCCGCGUGUGUGAAGAAGGCCUUUUGGUUGUAAAGCACUUUAAGCGAGGAGGAGGCUCUUAAGGUUAAUACCCUUGAUGAGUGGACGUUACUCGCAGAAUAAGCACCGGCUAACUCUGUGCCAGCCGCCGCGGUAAAAC